AACAGUUCCCACUGGUUGGCCAUGGAUAAGCUGUGUAGAUGCCUGUAUAUACGACAUUUCAAAUGUUGUUUGGCAACAGUUUCACCUGCUCCUGAGUUUUUGUUUACAAUUGUGCUCUUGAACUGUAAAUAAUGAGCAUCGUUCGCGGAGAGGAUGUCUCGUUGACGGUGUCAGAGCAAGUUCUGUCAGCUUGCGCUGGGGCUUUAGUAACAUCUCUGUUUGUUACUCCAUUAGAUGUUGUGAAGAUACGACUUCAAGUGCAAGAAAAGGUUGGCCCUGGAAAAAAAUGUUUCCAGCAUUAUAGUUGUUUAUGGGAUAAUUUAUGCUACUGCAUCCAAGAACAUGGAUGCAAACGCUGUGAGUGGUAUAAAACAGAAAGGCAGUUUAAGGGAACUUUGGAUGCAUUUAUGAAAAUAUCCAAGUAUGAAGGCAUAACAUCACUGUGGAGUGGUCUUUCUCCCACUCUAGUGAUGGCCAUACCUGCAACAGUAAUAUAUUUUACCAUGUAUGAACAGAUCCGUGAUAAUACAAUGAAAACUCUGGUUCCACCAUUGCAUCCUUACUGGGUUCCUAUGAUGUCUGGAAUUAGUGCAAGAGUUCUGACUGUUACAGCUAUAAGUCCUAUAGAAUUUUUACGCACUAAAUUGCAGUCAGAAAGGGUAAAAUAUUCAGAUGUAUAUAAAAGUUUAGUACAGCUAGUAAAGCAGAGAGGUUUAAUAUCUCUGUGGCAUGGAUGGGUUCCAACACUUCUGAGAGAUGUACCUUUUUCUGCUAUAUAUUGGUCAAUAUAUGAGCACCUGAAGUUAUUGAAACCAGAGCCUAGUUUCACGCAUUCAUUUGUAUUUGGAGCACUUUCUGGAACUGUAGCUGCUGCUUUUACUACUCCAUUUGAUGUAAUAAAAACACAUCGUCAGGCUCAGCUUGGGGAAGCUGCGCUUUUGCACAAAGCUGUAAAGACUAGCACCUUUUCACUGAUUAUGACCCUAUAUAGACAAGGGAAAACAAAAUCACUCUUAGCAGGUUUACUUCCCCGAAUAAUGAAAGUAGCUCCAUCGUGUGCCAUAAUGAUUUCUUCUUAUGAGUUUGGAAAGAGUUACUUCAAAAAGCGAAGAGCAAAAGCAAAAGAUUAACUUCUUUGCAAAUUAUCUUUAGGGUACUUGGUACUAAUUCAGAAGUCAAACAACAGGUACUUGGUAUUUCGGAGCAAGAAAUGAAAAAUCACCUAAGUCCUCACCAGGAUUCAAAACAUGGAUCUUCCAACUGCUAGCUGGACAAGCUAACUAUUUACACAAUGAGAGCAGCAUGGAUGGAUGCGGUGAUUCAUUACGUAUGAAUCAAAAAAGUUAUUUGAGAGAAAAACAUAAGAAAUGAAACAAAAAGGAGGUAUCUGUUGAAGACCGCUUAUGCCUGUGAGUUGAAGUACAUAAAGAAGACACACAUGUUGUGAAAUGAAAUAUCUUAAGAAAACAUCAUGUCUUAUUUCUUGAACCUAUUUCAAAUUUCUGUAUAAAUUAAUAGAAAAUGAAUUAAAGGAGCAUAGUCCCAGACAGUAA